rnacentral:rRNA from 1 species
UACGUAGGGUGCUAGCGUUGUCCGGAUUUAUUGGGCGUAAAGGGCUCGUAGGCGGCUUGUCACGUCGGAUGUGAAAGCCCGGGGCUUAACCCCGGGUCUGCAUUCGAUACGGGCUAGCUAGAGUGUGGUAGGGGAGAUCGGAAUUCCUGGUGUAGCGGUGAAAUGCGCAGAUAUCAGGAGGAACACCGGUGGCGAAGGCGGGUCUCUGGGCCAUUACUGACACUGAGAAGCGAAAGCAUGGGGAGCGAACAGG